ensembl:lncRNA
CCGAGCAGUUGCCAUACCAGGCAGUGAUGCAACAGGUCAGGAUGCUCUUGAUGGUGCAGCUGUAGAACUUCUUGAUCUGGGGACCCAUGCCAAAUCUUUUCAGUCUCCUGAGGGGGAUAGGUUUUGUCGUGCCCUCUUCACAACUGUCUUGGUAGGUUUGGACCAUGACAGUUCGUUGGUGAUGUGGACACCAAGGAACUUGAAACUGUCGAUCCGCUCCACUACAGCCCCGUUGAUGAGAAUGGGGACCUGUUCGGGCUGCCUUUUCCUAUAGUCCACGCUCAGCUCCAUUGUCUUGCUCACACUGAGGGAGAGGUUGUUGUCCUGGCACCACACAGCCAGUUAUCUAACCUCCUCCCAAUGGGCCGUCUCAUCGUUGUCGGUGAUCAGGCCUACCACUGUUGUGUCGAAAGCAAACUUAAUGAUGGUGUUGGAGUCGUGGAGACAUGUUGCCUACCCUUACCACCUGGGGGCGGCCCCAUCAGGAAGUCCAGGAUCCAGUUGCUGAGAGAGGUGUUUAGUCCCAGGGUCCUUAGCUUACUGAUGAGCUUCGUGGGCACUAUGGUGUUGGAUGCUGAGCUGUAGUCAAUGAACAGCAUUCUCACAUAGGUGUUCCUUUUGUCCAGGUGAGAAAGGGCAGUGUGGAGUGCGAUUGAGAUUGCGUCAUCUGUGGAUCUGUUGGGGCGGUAUGCAAAUUGGAGUGGGUCUAGGGUGUCCGGAAGGAUGUGAGCCAUGACAAGCCUUCCAAAGCACUUCAUGGCGGUAAUGAUUUAGACAGGUUAACUUCGCUUCCUUGGGCACAGGGACUAUGGUGGUCUGCUUGAAACAUGUAGGUAUUACAGACUCGGUCAGGGAGCGGUUGAAAAUGUCAGUGAAGACACUUUCCAGUUGGUUUGCGCUUGCUUUGAGUACACGUCCUGGUAAUCCGUCUGGCCCUGCAGCUUUGUGAAUGUUGACCUGUUUAAAGGUCUUGCUCACAUCGGCUACCGAGAGUGUUAUCACACAGUCAUCCAGAACAGCUGGUGCUCUCGUGCAUGCUUCAGUGUUGCUUGCCUCAAAGCGAGCAUAAAAGGCAUUUAAGCUCCUCUGGUAGGCUCACGUCACUGGGCAGCUCCGGUUUCCCUUUGCAAUCCGUAAUAAUUUUCAAGUCCUGAACUUGAAAAUCAAGUCCUCAAUCUUACUGUUGUAUUGAGGUCUGCUUGUUUGAUGGUUCGAAUGACGGCAUAGCGGGAUUUCUUAUAAGCGUCUGGAUUAGUGUCCCGCUCCUUGAAAGCAGCAGCUCGAGCCUUUAUGGCAGAGGUACAAUAAAAUGAUACAAAUAUCUUUGCUCCUAAUGUGCACCCCUCAAAUGAUACAAAACAGCCAAAGUGCACUGGAAAAAACAAUACAGAGGGAAGAAACAAUGCAGACAGACCGAAUAACCAAUGCAGACAGAUGGAAGAACAAUGCAGACGGAGAACAAUGCAGACAGCGAAAACAAUGCAGAUGGAGAAACAAUGCAGAUGGAGAGACAAUGCAGAUGGAGAGACAAUGCAGGCGGUGUGGCAAUGCAGAUGGAGAUACAAUGCAGACUGAGAGGCAAUACAGAUGGAGGGACAAUGCAGACGGAGUAACAAUGCAGACAGAUGCAGGCGGAAUUACAAUACAGACAUAAUGUAUGAUCUGAGUGAUAAUCUUGGGUGCUCCCAAAUCAACAUUACACAGGUCACAUUUAAAAGAGAAUGUUUGGUAGUUCACAUUUAAAAGAGAUCUAGAUUAGAGAAUGUUUGGUAGGACACAUUUAAAAGAGAUCUAGAUUAGAGAAUGUUUGGUAGGUUACAUUUAAAAGAUCUAGAUUAGGGAAUGUUUGGUAGGACACAUUUAAAAGAGAUCUAGAUUAGGGAAUGUUUGGUAGGACACAUUUAAAAGAGAUCUAGAUUAGAGAAUGUUUGGUAGGUUACAUUUAAAAGAUCUAGAAUAGAGAAUGUUUGGUAGAUCUAGAUUAGGGAAUGUUUGGUGGAACACUAGAGUUCCCCAAGGCACAGCAGUUGAAAACCACUGCACGAGACUAGGGCUUCCAUAACUGUUCCUGUGAGUGAGUGGGUGGGUGUCCGUAAUAUCCGCUUUAAUUCUCCUGUUUUAUCAAGUGUCCUGUGAUUCUCUGUCUCUCUCUGUGACAUCCUCUAUAACCACUGGGAUUCUCUGUCUCUCUCUGUGGUUGUGAGUUGGUGGUGACCUAACAUAAUCGCUCGUGGAGCUUUCGCUGUAAAGCAUUUUUGAAAUCAGACACUGUGGCUGGAUUAACAAGAAUUGUAUCUUUAAAAUGGUGCCUAAU